GAGGGUGUAGCUCAGUGGUUAAGAGUGUGUGCUUAGCAUGCACGAGGUCCUGGGUUCAAUCCCCGGUACUUCCA
rnacentral:tRNA from 1 species